rnacentral:lncRNA from 1 species
GGUUCAGCUAACACGCUUAUUCAAACUAGUUAAUUACAGGCACUUCUCAAGGGAUGUAUUUGUGGGUGGACACAAACCAUUGAUGCAAUACUAGAGAACAUGAGCAUCUAUCGGUUAUUCCAGAUUGCCACUGUCCAAGGUCAAUGACUAUCUGCAACUCUGCAUCAGGCAACAGUGUGCACUAGUCAAGCAGACGUAUACUACCUCCAUUCUCUUUUAGAUGUCGAUUUAUAAUGUACAAAUGCAGUGUUCCAAAGAUGUGCAAACAGUAUGUCAACUAACCAUGGUAAACAAUGGAUUUAACGGCAUUGAUAAAUCAAAUAUCGCACUAUCAACAAAAAACUUCACGGGCUCCUGCAACAGCAUGGCAUCAUCUCGAAGUUGUGUAUUACAAAAUGUUUCAGUAUGGACUAUGGAGGCAAAUGUACAUUACUUGUAAACAACGCUUUGUUUCUUAGGUGCUACUAGAUAUAAGAUUUUUCAUUGUGAAGCUUUUGUUUAGGCAAUGGCUACUGAAUUUUCAUUACAUAGAUUCAGCCAGAAAGGGAAAAUUAGUCUCUGGAAGAUCGGAUCACAAUUUAUAUAUGCUUUAGGUAUGAAUAUGUAAACAAUUUCAUAAGGAACCAACCAAGCCCCUUUCAAAAAGACACCAAAGAGCUAGCUCGAGAAAAACUAUGCAUAAAUGCAUAAUUCGAUGAUCUCAAUUCACAACAAUGAGCUCCAAGUUCGGCAAAAAGAAAAACUACACUAUUGGCACAAUCCAAACAAGAAUUUGACCACAGGCAUUCAGCCAACAUCACAUCCGAAUCGCAUACCCAAAACUCACAACACAUGUCAAGAGAAAAACUACACGACUAUCACGAUCUAAACAAGAAUUUAACCAC